CCAAUCAUUCAUACUAUCAUCUAUAUGGUCAGAUUCUAUUUCCGAAUGCUAAUGAAGUCGAUAAUCACGGGUAUCAGUAAAGAAACCAGCCAUAUCAGAUAAGUUAUAUAUCCGAAAUCCCAAACUACAUAUAACAUAAUUGACAUAAAUAGACACAGAUAUAGGCAAAAAUGGAAAAAUCAUGGCAUCAAAAGACUUUGCCAUAAAAUUCCAGCAUUGAACCCUAAACCCAAAAUAAGAAUAAAUAUAUAUUUGCAUAUCACUCGAUAAUGGUAACAUAAAUCAUUAAAUUUAAAGUGUUUUUCAAGUAAAGAAGAUUCUUAUCACCUUUGUAAUGUCCUUCUUGGCAGUCAAUGAAGCAACAGUAUCUCUAACCUCUGCAUAUAUAUAUAUAUAUAACAAAUAGUUGUUGAAACUUUAAAACAUCACAGAAAAAUUUAACUAAAAGCUAAUUUCUGAGUUUGAACUUUGAACUCACUGGCAUAGAACUGG
rnacentral:lncRNA from 1 species